GUGAGCAUAGUUUUAAACAAAACAUCAGAUCGUGGACCUGAAAAUAGAAGUUCAUCCC
rnacentral:tRNA from 1 species